CUGGAUGUAGCUCAGUGGUAGAGCACUUCCCUCUUAUGGGAGAGGCCUUGGGUUCAAUCGCCAGUGUCUUAU
rnacentral:tRNA from 1 species